GGAGGGUGCAAACGUUGCUCGGAUUUACUGGGCGUAAAGCGCAUGCAGGCGGUCUGCAAAGUUUCGUGUGAAAGCCCUGGGCUCAACCCAGGAAGUGCACGGAAAACUGGCAGACUAGAGUACUGGAGAAGUGGGCGGAAUUCCCGGUGUAGAGGUGAAAUUCGUAGAUAUCGGGAGGAACACCAGCAGCGAAAGCGGCUCACUUGACAGAUACUGACGCUCAGAUGCGAAAGCGUGGGGGGAGCAAACAGGAUUAGAUACCCUGGUAGUCCACGCCGUAAACGAUGGGCACUAGGUGUCGGGGGCUUGACCCCCCCCCUUCGGCGCCGCCGCUAACGCAUUAAGUGCCCCCGCCUGGGGACUACGGUCGCAAGACUA
rnacentral:rRNA from 1 species